rfam:Myotis brandtii contig163022, whole genome shotgun sequence.
AGAGGCCCUCCGUGGCCAGGGUGGAACACUUGCCUCGUCAUCGUGGCGACGAAGCAAGCAUUCCACCAGGCCGCUCACGCUGCCCGG